CUGGGUGUAGCUCAGUGGCAAAGCCCUUGUCUAGCAUGCAGGAAGGCCUGGGUUUGAGCCCCAGCACUGGGG
rnacentral:tRNA from 1 species